AGAGCUCACUCUCCAACUUUAUUAAAUACUAUUUGAGCACAGGACACAUUCUUAAACAUUUUGAAAAACAUUAACCCAAGAUGUAGAGGCUACUGCUAGUCGUCAUUCUAGAAUCUGAUAUUUUACUCUGUAUUUGAAAUGAAUGAUUAAUGUCCUAGGAAAUUAGCUUUAGCAGAUGUCCAGGUGCCACAUCAAAAAAGUGCAAUAAUUAUUGACAGUUUUUUAGAUUAGGCAUAUUAUUGGAAAACAACUUUAUAAAGAGUGAACAUUGUAUACUCUAGUAAAACAGCAUCACUUUAAAAAUAUUCAUUUAUGAAAUCUGUUACCUAUAGUUGAAGUCUUGAGUAGUGAACAAGGGACUCUAAUACCAAUACUCUUAAUAUCUGGCUAUUUUAGAUCCCUUAAAGGGCAUAAUUAUUGGAAAUUUAGGUAUUUCACUAAAGCAUGUAUAUAAUAUUGCCAACAAGAAAAGUAAAUUUGAAGAUUAAGGGAACUUACUUCUGCAAACUGUCUUGCGAUAGUUAAGCAGAAUUUAAACUCUGUUUUAAGCAGGAAACCAGAAAGAUUAUUUUGCAGUUGUAGAAGAUUUCAUAACUUAUUAAAACUUAUUAACAUUUUGUGUUGUUUAGAUAUAGGCAGUUGAUACAUACUAACAUCCCAGCCUUUUCAAUAUCAGGGUUAAAUUAUAGGAAAACUCAGUAAAAUGGUACAAAUCUGAAAGUUUGAUGGUAGAAACUGAAGAUUUAACAGAGAACUGUGUUUUACCCGAGUGCCAAAAAUGCUGUGAGCCUCCUUGCACAAAAUUUAUACCACUUUUGCAUUUUUAUCUAUCAGUCCAGAUAGUUGUCUCCCCUCCUUCUCCCAGGACCUCUCCACCAUUAAAAUGCACAAACCACAUGGCCGAUUUCACCAUUUACAUUUAUUUUCAAAAGUUACUACAACCAAAUUAAUUCUAUUAGAAGAAAUGUAGACAAAUUCUAUAAAGACUAUAGAUUGUGACCUAAGAAAGAAAUGAGGCAAAGAACCAAACAUUGAAUUAAAUGCUACAUGGGUGACUAAGAUCUGUUUCAAGUCAGUGAUAAUAUAGCCACUUCUGGGUACUUCAGUAUCAGAGAUCAGUUCUCGUGGUUUAGACAGUUCCUAUCUAUAGCUGACUAUCCUUGUCCUUGAAUAUGGUGUAACUGACUAUUGGCUCUACAGUUUUAUUGGGCCACUUAAGAAAUAUUUCCUUGAAUAAUUAUUUUGAGAAAAAGUCUAAAAGUAAUAAAAAUAAUUUUAAACACACUGUAGUAAGAAAUGACUGUUGGAAAAUUAUGCUUUCACUUUCUACCAUAUUCUCAGCUAUACAAAACCAUUUAUUUUGAAGAUUUUUAGACUACUGUUAAUUUGAAAUCUGUUACUCUUAUUGUGGAAUUUGUUUUUUUAAAAAAGAUGUUUCUAAUUGGAUUUUUAAAAGAAGAAUGGAAUUUGGUUGCUAUUUUACAAUAGAACCUAAGCUUUUUGUGGUUCUUAGUGUCCUAUGUAAAACUUAGUGUCAAAGUAAUCAACUUUGAGAUUUUCCCUUCUAUUCUGCUUUAUAUUAAAAGCCCAUUAGAAAAUGGGAACCUGGUGAAUAUAUAAUGAAUUGUAAAAUAUUUUAAUGUGUAACUUUUUCAACUGUGAAACUGACUUGAUUUUUUGAUGAAAACAGCUGCUGAUAAAGUAUUUUGUGU
rnacentral:lncRNA from 1 species